GUAUGAGAUUUUCGAGCUCGAUACUCCUGAUGCCCACUCCACAACACUCCUCAAUGAUGCUACUCAAUUCGAUUUCAUCUUAGCUUGACACCAAAGUCAUGUAUCUUCCAUGUUGGAUAUCUUUCACUUCCAAUGAAAACCAGCCGCCGGGCACUUCGUUUUCAGAGAUACCUACAUGAGAAACUAUGUCGUACCGCAAUUAGGUAAUUACGACAGUCAUUCUCCACUCUAUGGUUGCCCUCAUUGUAUGCCUCCCC
rnacentral:lncRNA from 1 species